UAGGUCAAGGAAAUUUGGUAUCGAGAAAACAAAGCUAAUGUGUGGUAACAUGCUCAAGUGGAGGAAGAAAUUUGGUUCAGACACUAUUGUAGAGGUAUUGCUUUGAAUUUGUUAGAUAUGUCAUAUUAUCAUGAUUAAUUGUUAUUUUAAGUUAGGGUGUGUUGUUGUAUAGGACUAAUAUAUGUGUUGGUGAAUUUGAUUCGCUUUAUAGAGAGAGCAUUCCAAAUUUACUUGAUGACCUUGUUGAAAUUCAAGUAAGUGUGACCUUUUUCAAAUUGGGAACUAAUUUUGUUUCAAAUUAGAUUUUUAGGUAUUGGGAUCUUAUUUGGGGUGCACCCGAAAUCAAAGGAACCUUUGAUGUGUAUGGCAACAGUACCUUCUUUGUAACUGCAUGGUGUUAGUGUUUGAUAUUAUGUUACCAAGUCAAUUCUCAAUAAAGCUAUAUUCAAAUGCGACUACUUAUUAGAUUUCACAACUAAAAUGGGAGUGGCUUUUAUGUCGCACCUGAGUAGAAAUAUAUACAAUUUCCCUAACCCCUUUGUUUUGCUGUGUGUUUCUUUCUUCAAUCUUAUGUGUUCAAUCAUUUCCUAUAAUGAUAAUAUUUGAAACAAAUGUGAACUGAUGAUGUUAUGCUCCAGAAUUCAAGGAAUGAUUUUCAGAGUUAUAGUUAAAAAUGAUGAACAAGUUGAAGUUUUGUUUACAAGAACGUGGGAUCCUUCUCUUGAGGGAAAGUUUGUCCCCUUAAACAUUGACAAAAGGUCAUUGCUUAAGAUUUUGCUUAUUAUCCAUUACCUUCUUGAAAUCCUAAGUUCAAGAUUAAUUACUGUGGGUGAUCAAUUUCAAAUUCAUACUGCUCCGAGUUUCAUCAGGCUUCUACUCUUAUGGAAUUUAUGAGCACAUAAGUGGAUGGCCAGACUUUGAUAUCAGUGAAACAAGGAUCACUUUCAAGCUUAGAAAACACAUCACAGACUUGAUAUCUACAAAUGGUGCUUAUGUUGGUCUAGCUCCACCAGGAGAUGCCGGGUCAUUGCGAAGCGAAUGCAAGGUGUUUUUCCUUUGCACUUAUUGAAAGCUUAAAUAAAUAAAACAACAAAAAUACACAUGCGGUAUUUAUAAGCCUAAUUUAGACAUGAGCACCUGAACAAUGCACAUUUCUCUUCAUGCGUAAUUGUCAAUUUUUGUUCUUCUUAUUUUUAUUAUUAUUUUGGAAAAUAAUAUUGGAAUGAUAGUGGGGUUGUUGAAAUUUUCUUAAAUAUUCUCUGUGGUGUUCCAUAUUGACUUUGAACAAAUGUUGCUCUAUGAUAAAGGCUAAGAUGAAAUUAGGAGUCUCUUUGAUAUAAAGAUUUGUUACUUUGAUUGAGUAGUUCGAAACAACUAAUUAAUAUUUUCGAAUGAGGUGUAACUUCUUUCUAUUCGAAUAAAUUUUAAUGCUUAUGAGAAACAAUAAUAUUGACAUAUACUUAUUUAAAAGUUCAUCCUACCAACGCUAUCAAUUCUGGACCAGAGCAUCUAAGAAUGGAUUUUUUACAAAUAGGAACAUACGUGUUGGUGACUAUAACCUUUAUGUCUGGGUUCUUGGUUUUAUCCGGAACUACAAAUUCAAUGAUUUGAUGAAGAUAUAUAACCCCAGGUUCUAUCGCUUAGUGAAACUUGAAAUAUUUUAUCAUCUUGCCAAAAAUGUAUGCUCAUUAGAAUUACUGCAUAAGUUCUAAUUUAUUGCUAAGGGUUGGUCCAACAUUGUGGGAAAUAGGUAUUCCUGAUCGAACUGCUACAGAAUUUUAUGUUCCUAAUCCCAAGCCAGAUUGUAUUAAUAAGCUUUUUAUCAACCAUCCUGAAAGAUUAGCCUCUUAUGUUCCCUUUCUAAAUUAGUUGGUUAAGUUUUCUUUUUUGUCUGUUUUAAUACGAAAAUUUUGAAACUCUAAAUUUUCCCUUUUAGGGUGUGCUUAGUGUAAGAUGUUUCUUCAAAUUUUAAACGGAUAUAUUCUUUGAUCUUUCUUUUUUUUUUCUCUCAACUUGUAGGUUCAGAUAGUACGGAUUAUGGGAAAGGUAUAUAGAAUUGUAUCUGGAAUCAGAUUUGGUUUACACAGUUGGUGUCAGUGACUAUAAGAGAGAUUGGUUUUAUGCCCAUAUUCCCAGAAAGAAAGAAGAUAAUACCCAUCAAAGAACAACUUGGUAAA